UCCUCUUUCUGUCGUCCCUUCUCCACUCUCUGGCCUCUCCAAUCUCCACCCUCUUCUCUUCCCGUUCUCUUAUCCGUCCCGUCUCCACUCUCCAUACUUUCCACAUUAAGUAAGUUUUUAUGGGUUUUUAGUUCCUUUUCUCUUCCUUUUGUUCUAUGUUUUCUUAGCUUAAAAUUUUAUGGGUCUGGUCGAUGAGUGUUUUUAUGUUGGUUUUAUAAAUCAUUUGAAAUUGAAUGAUGAUUUUAGAAAUUGAGUAAUUGGAGACUGUUUGAUUGUGUUGUAAAUUUAUGGUUUGAAUUGAAUGGCUUAUGGUGAUAUUGGCACGAAUGGCUGAAUUGGAAAUAGUGUUGAAAUUGUAUGAACUGUUUGUUUUGCCUUAACAAGCUGGGUAGUAAUAUAAUUGCCAUGUCAUGCUGUUGAAACUUUUAUUGAUUUGGUGGGAUAUUGAUUAGUCACUGUAGUGGCGGGUUUUCGUGGACCAGCCUAUUAGAGAAGGGCACGGUAAACCCGGUUAUAUUUUACCUUGGUACGAGAGGCGCGUAGGGUAUCUCUUAAGGUAAAGCUUUAGAGUUCACUACACACUAAACCACCACGUGAGGGUGAACUCAGCCAAUGCCAAGAAGCGUCUAUGCUUUUAAACGUAAAAAUUUGUUUUAUGCGUAUAUGAACUUUUCUUUAACAGCCUUGAUGGACUCGGUUGGAUGCCCCGGCCAAGGUAUCCCUGAGAAUGAGUUUUGGCACGAGCCAAAUUUUUAAGAAAUUCAUAAGCCAUGUUGAUUAUUUGAGUGAAAUGAAAUUAUUUUAUUUAGUUGAAAUGAGUUUGAAACGUUAUGAAUCAUAGUACGAUGAACUAUUUUAAGUUAUCUCCAUUUACUCAACUUUAGAUAUUUUAGAUUAUGUUUGUUUACUCACUGGGUUUAAAAAAACUCACCACCCUUUUUUCAUACAUUUCAGGCUCAGGGCAGUCUGUAGACCGUCGAUUUUGUCGAGGGUUUGCUAUUGGAUUCGCACCCUUAGAAAUCGUACAGUCGUGUUUAUUUUGGUUAUUUUGGGGGCCCACAUGUCAUUGUAGAAUAUUUUGUAUGCCUGGUUGCGUGUGCCAUUGUAUGUAUGAAUUUAUUUUGCUUUUACGCUAUAAAAAUUA
rnacentral:lncRNA from 1 species